ACUCAUCUCUAGCCGCUUCAAAAUAGAAGGCAGGAGAGAGAAAUAUCAAAGAAAUAAAAUCCGAAGAGGUAGAGAAGAGCAGAAAAUCUGGAUUUUUCUCACGAGUAGAACUAAAAUCAAAGCUUGGGAAAGAAAGUGAAGGAAAGGAGAAAGAUUUUUUCAGCUAUUCAAGCAGCAUCAUGUACAUGUUUCUAUGCAUGUGAUCUUUCACAACAAAGUAUGAAAGAAGCAUUGGGGGAAGCUUGGAAGCUAAAGUAGAAUGGUUUUUCUGAUUAUUUUGAGCUAACAAAGAUACAUGAUUUCUAUAGGCUACUAUAUAUACAUCAAUAUGAACUUUGUAUGCAACUAUGCAAGAUAUAACAGAAUGUAAUGUGCAUAGGAUUUUGAUCAUGAAGGUUAUGAAUUACUUGGUGAAAAUUAUUUUUGUAUUCA